rnacentral:rRNA from 1 species
AGGAGACUUCGGUCUCUGAGUAGAGCGGCGCACGGGUGAGUAACGCGUGGAUGAUCUACCCUUGAGUUCGGGAUAACGGUGCGAAAGCGCCGCUAAUACCGUAUAACAAUCCAUUUCAUCGUGGGUUCAAAGCAGGCCUCUUCAUGAAAGCUUGCGCUUGGGGAUGAGUCCGCGUCCCAUUAGCUUGUUGGCGGGGUAACGGCCCACCAAGGCAACGAUGGGUAGCUGGUCUGAGAGGAUGAUCAGCCACACUGGAACUGAAACACGGUCCAGACUCCUACGGGAGGCAGCAGUGGGGAAUAUUGCGCAAUGGGGGAAACCCUGACGCAGCGACGUCGUGUGAGGGAAGAAGGCCUUCGGGUCGUAAACCUCUGUCAGAAGGGAAGAACAUCCGGGAGUCGAACAGCCUCCCGGCCUGACGGUACCUUCAGAGGAAGCGCCGGCUAACUCCGUGCCAGCAGCCGCGGUAAUACGGAGGGCGCAAGCGUUAAUCGGAAUCACUGGGCGUAAAGCGUGCGUAGGCUGCUUGAUAAGUCAGACGUGAAAUCCCUCGGCUCAACCGGGGAACUGCGUUUGAUACUGUCGAGCUAGAGUCCUGGAGAGGGUGGCGGAAU